UGGGGAAUUUUGCACAAUGGGGGAAACCCUGAUGCAGCGACGCCGCGUGAUUUAGAAGGCCUUCGGGUUGUAAAAAUCUUUUCUAUGGGAAGAAAAUGACAGUACCAUAGGAAUAAGGACCGGCUAAUUACGUGCCAGCAGCCGCGGUAAUACGUAAGGUCCGAGCGUUGUCCGGAAUCAUUGGGCGUAAAGGGUACGUAGGCGGGUAAGCAAGUUAGAAGUGAAAUCCUAUAGCUCAACUAUAGUAAGCUUUUAAAACUGCUCAUCUUGAGGUAUGGAAGGGAAAGUGGAAUUCCUAGUGUAGCGGUGAAAUGCGCAGAUAUUAGGAGGAAUACCGGUGGCGAAGGCGACUUUCUGGCCAUAACCUGACGCUGAGGUACGAAAUCGUGGGUAGCAAACAGG
rnacentral:rRNA from 1 species